rnacentral:tRNA from 1 species
UGCAGUGUGGCUGAGUGGCAGAGUGCUUGCCUAGCAUGCAUUAGGCUCUGGGUUAGAUCCCCAGUGCUACAA